rnacentral:rRNA from 1 species
UACGAAGGGGGCUAGCGUUGUUCGGAAUUACUGGGCGUAAAGCGUGCGCAGGCGGCUGCUCAAGUCAGGGGUGAAAGCCCGGGGCUCAACUCCGGAAUUGCCUUUAAGACUGCAUCGCUAGAAUUGUGGAGAGGUAAGUGGAAUUCCGAGUGUAUAGGUGAAAUUCGUAGAUAUUCGGAAGAACACCAGUGGCGAAGGCGACUUACUGGACACAUAUUGACGCUGAGGUGCGAAAGCGUGGGGAGCAAACAGG